rnacentral:rRNA from 1 species
UACGUAGGGGGCAAGCGUUGUCCGGAUUUAUUGGGCGUAAAGAGCUCGUAGGCGGUUCCGUAAGUCGUGAAGUCAAUCUCUGGCUCAACCCAGAAUCGCUUCCGAUACUGCGGUGACUGGAGUCCGGUGAGGGGAGUGGUGGUAAUUCCUGGUGUAGCGGUGAAAUGCGCAGAUAUCAGGAGGAACACCGGUGGCGAAGGCGGGUCUCUGGCCGAUACUGACGCUGAGACACGAAAGCGUGGGUAGCAAACAGG